rnacentral:rRNA from 1 species
AACGAACGCUGGCGGCAGGCUUAACACAUGCAAGUCGAGCGCCCCGCAAGGGGAGCGGCAGACGGGCGAGUAACGCGUGGGAAUCUACCCAUCUCUACGGAAUAACGCAUGGAAACGUGUGCUAAUACCGUAUACGUCCUUCGGGAGAAAGAUUUAUCGGAGAUGGAUGAGCCCGCGUUGGAUUAGCUAGUUGGUGGGGUAAAGGCCUACCAAGGCGACGAUCCAUAGCUGGUCUGAGAGGAUGAUCAGCCACACUGGGACUGAGACACGGCCCAGACUCCUACGGGAGGCAGCAGUGGGGAAUAUUGGACAAUGGGUGCAAGCCUGAUCCAGCCAUGCCGCGUGAGUGAUGAAGGCCCUAGGGUUGUAAAGCUCUUUCACCGGUGAAGAUAAUGACGGUAACCGGAGAAGAAGCCCCGGCUAACUUCGUGCCAGCAGCCGCGGUAACAC